UCUGGAUUGAAAAGUUUAGCCUACACUGGUUUAGAACUCACAUGCUUCUAGCCUCUACCACCACUUGCUGAGAUUCAAGACUUCUUGAACAGCCACUACCAUAAAUGCUCUGGUCCAUCUCGUACGUGUUCCCGUGUUGCAGGUGGCUGUUGUGGAAGAUGACCAGGACUGAAAACAGAGCAUGCUUUGUAUCAGAGCUUCUCAGACUAUAGACUACCCUAGAAACAUCUGGGAGCCCUGUUUCAAGACAAAGCUUCAUUCCAUAGAUCUACAAUGACCUGACAUGGCUUCUGACAGAACAAGCUCCUGGCAAUACCAGUGCCUGACUAAGCUAUAGAAUAUAAUUCCUCAAUUACUUGAAAAUUCUUCAAUCAUAUCGUGCAUAAAUAUGACAAAAAGGUGAGGAUCAGGCCCAGGGCAUAUUCAGAACUGAAUACUUCUUAGUCCUUGGAAUGCCCCAUCCAGAGAGAGCACAGACAACUCAGCAGCUGAAGAGAAGAGCAGUAUUCUGCUCCUAGGCGUGUUCGUGAAGCCUAGCAUCCAUCCUGCUCCCUGCAGACCAGGCUCAACCACCAAACCAUGCUGUUUUAGAAUCUGGACAGAUGCCACAAUGUGUGUACUCAAGAGGAACACAAGUGAGAGACUGUCCAUGGUGAUUGACUUGUCUUGAUGAACUGUUCUGUGUAGGCUUUUGUUUCUCCAUCUAUAAGAUAGAUGGUUUUAAAAGACUGGUUCUUCUAGCUCUCACCUUACGGAAAAACUAUUAAAGGAAAUCAAGAAUGCAGGCAUGGGCAAUGUUCGGUAUUCUUAGCCACUGAGAUUACAUCUUAAUCUAGUAAGCAUGGUUAUCACCAAGAAAAAAAAACCUACAGUCAAUGCUGACAAGUAGUUGAGGAAAGAGGAACCCUUGUUCACUGUUGGUGGCAAUGUGAUCUGGUGAAGUUUUUAUGGAAAUCAAUGUAUAGGGUCCUCAAAAACUCAAACGAGUAUUACCAUAUGGCUAGGUGAUAGCAUUCCUGUGCAAAUAUCCAAAGGCAUCUGAGUUAAUAUACCACAGAGCCAUUUGUGUACCUAUUUGUUGCUGUUCUCUUUACAAAAGCCAAAAUAUUGAAGGAAUCACCCUUGAUGUCUAUUAGCAGAUGACUUGCUAGUAAAAAUAUGGUAAUAUGGUGCAUAUAUACAAUGGAAUGCAAUUUAUCCAUAAAGAAAAGUGGAAUUAUGUCACUUGUAAGAAAUGAAUAUAAUUUAGGACCAUCAAAAGAAAAUAAAGCUGAAUCAGAAC
rnacentral:lncRNA from 1 species